GACGAACGCUGGCGGCGUGCCUAAUACAUGCAAGUCGAGCGAAGUUUUUCUGGUGCUUGCACCGGAAAAACUUAGCGGCGAACGGGUGAGUAACACGUAAAGAACCUGCCUCAUAGACUGGGACAACUAUUGGAAACGAUAGCUAAUACCGGAUAAUAGCAUUAACUGCAUGGUUGAUGUUUAAAAGUUGGUUUUGCUAACACUAUGAGAUGGCUUUGCGGUGCAUUAGCUAGUUGGUGGGGUAAAGGCCUACCAAGGCGACGAUGCAUAGCCGACCUGAGGAGGUGAUCGGCCACACUGGGACUGAGACACGGCCCAGACUCCUACGGGAGGCAGCAGUAGGGAAUCUUCCGCAAUGGGCGAAAGCCUGACGGAGCAACGCCGCGUGAGUGAAGAAGGAUUUCGGUUCGUAAAGCUCUGUUGUUAGGGAAGAAUGAUUGUGUAGUAACUAUACACAGUAGAGACGGUACCUAACCAGAAAGCCACGGCUAACUACGUGC
rnacentral:rRNA from 1 species